rnacentral:lncRNA from 1 species
AUGCCCUCCCAUUGCUAUCGGGCUAUAGGUGUAGGCAGGUAUGAAGUAGGUUUGCGUCAUCUGAAGCAUAUGAACUGUCAAUGUCAAGUCCUCAGUGCCACCUUUUCAGGUGAGCUGUUGCCAAUCACCAGGAAAAAGAAAGUCUGGAUUAAUGACCUCUGUUUCCCUGUUUUCCUCUUGUCCUCACCUUCUGUGAAAGCAUAUCAACAACUGUGUUACUUCUUAACGAGGGUUACUCUGUGACCUCAAGAAGACAGAUCCAGAAAAAGAAAGACACAUCAAUUGCCAUUGUUUCCUCUCAUAACUUUCUAGUUCCUGAAAACUCCCUAUGCCUAGCCCCUAAAAGACCAGGUUAUUUAUACUUUUAUUUAAGAUUUAAAAAAUAAAAUAAAAUAAAUUGUUUAUGUUUAAAACUGU